GUUAUAUGGUCAAGCGAAUAAGCGCACACGGUGGAUGCCUUGGCGGUCAGAGGCGAUGAAGGACGUGGCAGCCUGCGAAAAGUAUCGGGGAGCUGGCAACAAGCUUUGAUCCGGUAAUGUCCGAAUGGGGAAACCCACCCGCUUGCGGGUAUCCUGCAGUGAAUACAUAGCUGCUGGAAGCGAACCUGGUGAACUGAAAUAUCUAAGUAACCAGAGGAAAAGAAAUCAACCGAGAUUCCGUAAGUAGCGACGAGCGAACGCGGACUAGCCCUUAAGCUGGAUUGGUUCUAGGAAAACGCUCUGGAAAGAGCGGCCAUAGAAGGUGAUAGCCCUGUAUCUGAAAGGGCCAUUCCAGUGAAGACGAGUAGGGCGGGGCACGUGAAACCCUGUCUGAACAUGGGGGGACCAUCCUCCAAGGCUAAAUACUACUGACCGACCGAUAGUGAACCAGUACCGUGAGGGAAAGGCGAAAAGAACCCCGGAGAGGGGAGUGAAAUAGAACCUGAAACCGUGUGCGUACAAGCAGUAGGAGCUCCGCAAGGAGUGACUGCGUACCUUUUGUAUAAUGGGUCAGCGACUUACUGUUCGUGGCAAGCUUAACCGUAUAGGGGAGGCGAAGGGAAACCGAGUCUGAUAAGGGCGCAUAGUCGCGGGCAGUAGACCCGAAACCGGGUGAUCUAGUCAUGCCCAGGGUGAAGGUGCGGUAACACGCACUGGAGGCCCGAACCCACUCCCGUUGCAAAGGUAGGGGAUGAGGUGUGAUUAGGAGUGAAAAGCUAAUCGAACCCGGAGAUAGCUGGUUCUCCUCGAAAGCUAUUUAGGUAGCGCCUCAUAUGUAUCCUC
rnacentral:rRNA from 1 species